rnacentral:rRNA from 1 species
GACGAACGCUGGCGGCGUGCCUAAUACAUGCAAGUCGAACGGAAAUUUUCUGGUUUUUUGGCUUGAAAAACUUACGGGCGGACGGGUGAGUCAUGCGUAAACAACCCUCCUCUUUGAGAUGACCAACUGAUAGUAAGGAUAAUAAAUAACAGGAAACAGCACUAAAUGCCUGGGUUAUGGUUGAUAGGUUGGUUUGGUAACACCUCGAGGUUGAUUUGCGUUUCAUUAGGUUGGUGGGGGGGUAAAGGCCUACCGAGGCGCCGGUGUAUAGGCGACGCGGGAGGGUGAUCGGCCACACGGGGACGUAAACACGGACCAGACUACUACGGGAGGCAGCAGUAGGGAAUCGUCCGCAAUGGGCGAGAGCCUGACGGAGCAACGCCGAGUGAGUGAAGAAGGAUUUCGGUGCGUAAAGCUCUGUUGUUAGGGAAGAAUGAUUGUGUAGUGACUAUACACAGUAGAGACGGUACCUAACAAGAAAGCCACGGCUAACUACGUG